GAGGGAUCUGGUUUCAAUUCUCUACGUUACGUUAUCAUUUCAAUCACUUCUUCUUCAAGUUCUCACCGUUCUCUCACUUCGUCGAGCUCACUUCGUCUUCACCGUUCUGGCGCCAAAACCACAUCUAUUUCCCGCUCAAGUUCUCAAGGACCAGUCUCUCUCUGCAUCUUCGAUUUCCUGCAUCGUCGGCUCUGGAUCAAGUUCAAAGACGACUCCGUCUUCGCUCUCUACACUCCCUUCUUCGUCGGCCUCGCCUCCGCCACUCUCGACUCUCACACCUUCCGCCAUUUCGUCGCUCAGGACCUCCAUUUCCUCAAAGCCUUUGCUCAAGCGUACGAAUUGGCGGAGGAUUGCGCCGACGACGACGACGACAAGGCCGGCAUACGCGCUUUGAGGAAGCGCGUUCUCCAGAGGCUUCAAUUGCACGAUAAACAGGGGUUUGCACGAUAAGUGUAGGCUUCAAUUUUCAAUCCGAGUUUUGACGUGCAGUUCCUAGAUCAAGUCUAGAAGACCUUACCUUCAGCUCAGGAUGUCCAGCAGGCUAAUGGAAGAAGAUUGGUGGUCUUUUCCCAGAAGGAAUUGAGAUUGCCAAGAUUUGGUAAGCU